UAAGAGACAAGCUAGCUUUAUCCUCUGGACUUUUUGGCUUACUUGAAUCAAUAAUUCCCUUUGGCUGAGAGCCAGCGUGUUCUGGGUUGUUCUGAGGCUUGGAAACAAAAGGCUUCUAACGGAUACAAAUCUCCAAAACCGGCAUUGAAAGGACUGCUACGAGAGCUGCCUCCAGCUGCGGUGAUCCCCUCCACAUAUCAGCUGGCUCCUUCUAAAAUGUGGAUCUCAUGACGUUGCGUCUCCAACUCAAACCCCCAAGCGCCCUUCACGGUCCAGAAAGCCAAGUUGUAGCUCCUCAGCAUG
rnacentral:lncRNA from 10 species